GACGAACGCUGGCGGCGCGCCUAACACAUGCAAGUCGAGCGAAGCCGUGAACGGGUGAGUAACGCGUGAGGAACCCGCCUCUCAUAACGGGAUAGCCUCGGGAAACCGGGAUUAAUAUCGUAGGGUGAGUGCUGGCCUCGCGUCUGAUUAGUUAGUUGGUGGGGUAACGGCCUAACAAGACGACGAUCAGUAACCGGCGUGGGAGGGUGAACAAUCACAAUGGAACUGAGACGUGGUCCAAGCUCUUACGAGAUGCAACAGUAGGGAGUCUAGCACAGUGGGGGAAACAUUGAUGCAGCGACGCCGAGUGAACAAUGAAAGUUUUCGAAGCAUAAAGCUCUGUCCUUUGGGAAGCGAUGCCAUGCGGGGAAGCCCCGGCUAACUACGUACCAGCAGCCGCAGUAAUAC
rnacentral:rRNA from 1 species